UUGAAGUAUGGAAUUAAACAUAUUUGUAAAUUUUACUUAUUUUAGGAUGGCAGUAUAACACAUCAGAUUUCUAGGCCUAAUCCUCCAAAUUUUGGUCCAGGCUUUGUCAAUGACUCUCAGCGGAAGCAGUAUGAAGAGUGGCUCCAGGAGACUCAGCAGCUGCUUCAGAUGCAGCAGAAGUAUCUUGAGGAACAAAUUGGUGCGCACAGAAAAUCUAAGAAGGCCCUGUCAGCCAAACAGCGCACGGCCAAGAAGGCAGGGCGAGAGUUCCCAGAAGAGGACGCAGAGCAGCUCAAGCAUGUUACUGAGCAGCAGAGCAUGGUUCAGAAACAACUUGAGCAGAUUCGUAAACAACAGAAAGAGCAUGCUGAGCUGAUUGAAGAUUACCGGAUCAAGCAGCAGCAGCAGCAGCAGCAGCAGCAGCAGCAGCAGCAGCAGCAGCAGCAGCAGCAGCAGCAGUGCGCCCUAGCCCCUCCCAUCCUCAUGCCAGGGGUUCAGCCCCAGCCACCUCUAGUUCCAGGUGCCAGCCCACUCACCAUGAGCCAACCCAACUUCCCCAUGGUGUCACAGCAGCUUCAGCACCAGCAGCACACAGCAGUCAUCUCUGGGCACACCAGCCCUGCUAGAAUGCCCGGCUUACCUGGAUGGCAAUCUAGCAGUGCUCCCGCUCACCUCCCCCUUAACCCUUCUAGGAUUCAGCCCCCAACUGCCCAACUAUCUUUAAAAACUUGUACACCAGCCCCAGGGGCAGUGUCAAGUGCAAAUCCACAGAAUGGACCACCACCUCGAGUAGAAUUUGAUGACAACAACCCUUUCAGUGAAAGUUUUCAAGAGCGAGAGAGGAAGGAACGCUUACGAGAACAGCAGGAAAGACAGCGAGUGCAGCUGAUGCAAGAAGUAGACAGACAGAGAGCUCUACAGCAGCGGAUGGAGAUGGAGCAGCAUGGGCUUAUGGGUGCUGAGCUAGCCAACAGGACACCUGUUUCCCAGAUGCCAUUCUAUGCUUCUGACAGACCUUGU
rnacentral:lncRNA from 1 species